rnacentral:rRNA from 1 species
UACAGAGGUCCCGAGCGUUGUUCGGAUUCACUGGGCGUAAAGGGUGCGCAGGUGGCUUGGCAAGUUUGAUGUGAAAGCUCAGGGCUUAACCCUGAAAUGGCAUUGAAUACUGUUGAGCUGGAGGUUUGGAGGGGGGACUGGAAUUCUUGGUGUAGCAGUGAAAUGCGUAGAUAUCAAGAGGAACACCAGUGGCGAAGGCGAGUCCCUGGACAAUACCUGACACUGAGGCACGAAAGCUAGGGGAGCAAACAGG